CGCAAGCCUGAUGCAGCGACGCCGCGUGAGUGAAGAAGGCCUUCGGGUCGUAAAGCUCUUUCUGCGUGACGAGCAAGGACGGUAGCGCAGGAAUAAGCCUCGGCUAACUACGUGCCAGCAGCCGCGGUAAAACGUAGGAGACAAACGUUAUCCGGAGUUACUGGGCGUAAAGGGCGUGCAGGCGGUCUGUUAAGUCUGGCGUGAAAGCUCUCGGCUAAACCGGGAGAGGUCGUUGGAUACUGACGGACUAGAGGACGGUAGAGGCGUGUGGAAUUCCGGGUGUAGUGGUGAAAUGCGUAGAGAUCCGGAGGAACACCAGUGGCGAAGGCGACACGCUGGGCCGUACCUGACGCUAAGACGCGACAGCAUGGGGAGCGAACGGGAUUAGAAACCCCGGUAGUCCAUGCCGUAAACGAUGCCAGCUAGGUGUUCAAGACGCGCAAGCGGCUGGGGUACCGAAGCUAACGCGAUAAGCUGGCCGCCUGGGGAGUACGGUCGCAAGGCUA
rnacentral:rRNA from 1 species